UGGGCUGUAGUUGUUGGAAAUUUAUUUUAGAAUUUAGUCUGUAGGAUUUUUUUGAUUUAGCUUUAAGGGAUGUAGGUUUAAAAUUUUCUACAGAUGAAGCUUUAAAAAAUAAGAUUUUUACAACCAUUUUUUUGUGUUUUUGGCUGUAACUUUAUUUUGUUGUAUGGGGGUGUAUUGAAAUGUGGAUUUUAAAAGUUUGGGUGGAUUUGAAAAAAUAUUGGAGUUUGAAGAGAUUUGGACUAAAUCUCUUUUAUAUGGGUGGGAUUUUUAAAAAGAAAAAAAGAUUUGGGUUGGAUUGUUUUUUAGUGGGGGUUAUUGGUUGGUGUAUUUUGAUGGAUUUGAAAAUCCAAACUAAAUCUAGUGUUAUUGGUUCUAUGAUUUUAAAAUAUGUAUUGAAAUCAUGUGUUAUUCGUUUAAUGAUUCAUAAAUUUUAAUUCAAAUCAAGUGUUAUUCAAUCAUACGGAUUUACUAAUAGAUUUGAUUUCAUAAUGUAUUUGAAUGAAUUUGCAUGGAUUUCUUUGUUAAAAAUACAAAGGCUCAAAUCCGAGGGAAAACCUCCGGAUUUGUAAAU
rnacentral:lncRNA from 1 species